rnacentral:tRNA from 1 species
GCGGAACUGGGGAAAUGGUAGAAACACAAAUAUGUGGUGAUUGUGUGCAAAACCCCCAAAAGGAGCUACACGCAAGAAUGAGGUUCUUGUGAACGCAAGUUUGUGAGGGUUCGAGUCCCUUGUUCCGUACCA